GACGAACGCUGGCGGCGUGCUUAACACAUGCAAGUCGAACGGAAAGGCCCUGCUUUUGUUGGGUGAUCGAAUGGCACACGGGUGAGUAACACGUGAGUAACCCGCCCUUGACUGUGGGAUAACUUCAAGAAACUGGGGCUAAUCCCGGAUAGGAGCUCCUGUUCGAUGGUGGGGGUUGGAAAGUUUCGGCGGUUGGGGUUGGACUCGCGGCUUAUCAGCUUGUUUGUGGGGUAGUGGCUUACCAAGGCUUUGACGGGUAGCCGGCCUUAGAGGGUGGCCGGCCACAUUGGGACUAAGAUAGGGCGCAGAGGCCAACGGGAGGCAGCGGUGGGGAAUGUUGCACAAUGGGCGGAAGCCUGAUGCAGAAACGCCGCGUGUGGGAUGACGGCCUUCGGGUUAUAAACGGCUUUCGCCUGAGACGAAGCGUGAGUGACGGUAAUGGGAAAAGAAGCACCGGCUAACUACGUG
rnacentral:rRNA from 1 species